rnacentral:rRNA from 1 species
CGCGGUAAUACGGAGGGUGCAAGCGUUAAUCGGAAUUACUGGGCGUAAAGCGCACGCAGGCGGUCUGUCAAGUCGGAUGUGAAAUCCCCGGGCUCAACCUGGGAACUGCAUUCGAAACUGGCAGGCUUGAGUCUUGUAGAGGGGGGUAGAAUUCCAGGUGUAGCGGUGAAAUGCGUAGAGAUCUGGAGGAAUACCGGUGGCGAAGGCGGCCCCCUGGACAAAGACUGACGCUCAGGUGCGAAAGCGUGGGGAGCAAACAGGAUUAGAUACCCUGGUAGUCCACGCCGUAAACGAUGUCUACUUGGAGGUUGUGCCCUUGAGGCGUGGCUUCCGGAGCUAACGCGUUAAGUAGACCGCCUGGGGAGUACGGCCGCAAGGUUAAAACUCAAAUGAAUUGACGGGGGCCCGCACAAGCGGUGGAGCAUGUGGUUUAAUUCGAUGCAACGCGAAGAACCUUACCUGGUCUUGACAUCCACAGAACUUUCCAGAGAUGGAUUGGUGCCUUCGGGAAC